AACAAACGCUGGCGGCGUGCCUAAUACAUGCAAGUCGAACGAGGAAAGCUUUCGGGUGAGUACUAGUGGCGCACGGGUGAGUAACGCGUGGAUAAUCUGCCUCAGAGUGGGGGAUAACUAGUCGAAAGAUUAGCUAAUACCGCAUAAGACCACAAGAACUGCGGUUCAAGAGGUCAAAGGUUUUUCGCUCUAAGAUGAGUCCGCGUAAGAUUAGCUAGUUGGUGAGGUAACGGCUCACCAAGGCAACGAUCUUUAACUGGUCUGAGAGGAUGAUCAGUCACACUGGAACUGAGACACGGUCCAGACUCCUACGGGAGGCAGCAGUAGGGAAUAUUGCACAAUGGAGGAAACUCUGAUGCAGCGACGCCGCGUGAGUGAUGAAGGCCUUCGGGUCGUAAAGCUCUGUCGCAGGGGAAUAGCACAAUGAAUGUACCUUGUAAGAAAGGAUCGGCUAACUUCGUGCCAGCCGCCGCCGCAGUAA
rnacentral:rRNA from 1 species